UUUUCUUGGUAUGUAGUCAACUUCCAUUGUAUGGCAUUCAUUCCACAACUGGUGCGGAUCCUUUCUAUUGGAUGCGUGUUAUUCUUGCUUCAAACCGUGGGACUGUUAUGGAGCUUGGUAUCACUCCAAUUGUAACAUCUGGUUUAGUGAUGCAACUUCUUGCUGGGUCAAAGAUCAUUGAAGUGGACAACAAUGUACGUGAAGACCGUGCUCU
rnacentral:misc_RNA from 1 species